rnacentral:rRNA from 1 species
UACGUAGGGGGCAAGCGUUGUCCGGAUUUAUUGGGCGUAAAGAGCUCGUAGGUGGUUCGGUAAGUCGGAUGUGAAAUCUCCAGGCUCAACCUGGAGGGGUCAUUCGAUACUGCCGUGACUAGAGUUCGGUAGGGGAGUGUGGAAUUCCUGGUGUAGCGGUGAAAUGCGCAGAUAUCAGGAGGAACACCGGUGGCGAAGGCGGGUCUCUGGGCCGAUACUGACGCUGAGGAGCGAAAGCGUGGGGAGCGAACAGG